rnacentral:rRNA from 1 species
CCUACGGGUGGCAGCAGUGAGGAAUAUUGGGCAAUGGGCGCGAGCCUGAACCAGCCAAGUAGCGUGAAGGAUGACUGCCCUACGGGUUGUAAACUUCUUUUAUAAAGGAAUAAAGUGAGUCACGUGUGCCUUUUUGUAUGGACUUUAUGAGUAAGGGUCGGCUAACUCCGUUCCAUCCGCCGCGGUAAUACGGAGGAUCCGAGCGUUGUCCGGAUUUAUUGGGUUUAAAGGGAGCGUAGAUGGGUUGUUAUGUCAGUUGUGAAAGUUUGCGGCUCAACCGUAAAAUUGCAAUUGAUACUGGCAGUCUUGAGUACAGUUGAGGUAGGCGGAAUUCGAGGUGUAGCAGUGAAAUGCUUAGAUAUCACGAAGAACACCGAUUGCGAAGGCAGCUAACUAAACUGCCACUGACAUUGAUGCUCGAAAGUGUGGGUAUCAAACAGGAUUAGAUACCCGAGUAGUC